rnacentral:lncRNA from 1 species
AAGAAGUAAUACUGCUCUCUUGGAGGAAUCCAGGCCAGAACUAACAAAAGAGGUGGCAUUGGCAGAGUUGCAGCUUUGUGCUGAGCUCCAACUGCGCUUUGGGUUCACUGUGGAUGAAGCGGAACAACGGCUAAAAAAGGCGGCACAAGUUUUCUCAGAGAAGGAAGGAAGGGAGACUUCAUUUUUAGAGCUCUCGAAGCACUUGCAAGGUUCGUCAGAGCACUCACUGAUCAUUGAGGCUGCUCUACCGACAGAAAUAAAAAAAUGCUGCACCACAUGUAUACGUAUACAAGGACCAAGCUUGGGUGUAUGGAGGC